CUGUCCAAAAUAACAAUAUGUAUAUUAAAUGCAAGGACUAGUGCUUCUAUCAACAUGCCUUACUAAAAUUUGGAACACAAAAUUGCUUAUCUGUACAUAGAUUUACUUUAAAAAUGGCUUGCAGAUCAGUUUCUUUCAUUGCUUAAGUUCAGAUGUUGUAUAUAUUUAUAGCAUCACAGCUUAUGCGUCUGUGAUAACACCAGAAAUCCUAGAAUACCAGCAUUGUCAAGCAUUACCCGUAUUUAAUUUUUCAAGUGUAUAGUUAUUGCACAGCAAAAUUG
rnacentral:misc_RNA from 1 species